AGAGAAUGUGCCUAUCCUUGGUGGUGGGCAAGAGAAAAUGCACGGAUCUUUCUCAAGAAAAUAGCUCUGAUUGGAUAUUUUGCUAAUGAUCGUAAUUAUGUGAAGACAUAAUGGAGAUAUGUAAUGUAAUGUGAAGACAUAAUUACAAAUGGAGAUGCACCAGCCACUUUAUAAUCAGAGAAACAAACCUGAAAGGGAAGGCCAACACACCCAGGAUGACAUCCCAGCAGAAGAAUGACAGGAACACUGGGUCCUUGAUCACCUCAUUUUCGUUCUGGACCUCUUGUUAAACAACUUCAACAAACUCCCAGGCUACUUAGGAUCCCUAACUGAAGUUUUGAGCCGUGGCAGAAGAUGGCUUCCAAAGAUGGCCGCCAGCAAUUCCUCCCCUCAUUCUGCGCAUGUGCCACACCUACCAUACAAAGGUAGAAUCUACUUCCCCUGCUCUUGUAUCUGGGGUAACUUUGUGACUUGCUUUGACCAGUAGAAUGUGGUAGAAGUAGCACUGUGAGUUCUAGGUCUUGGCUAUAGAGGCCUGGCAGUUUGUACCCGCCCUCUUGGAACUGGGAGUCACCAUACAGAGAGACUUGGCUAUCCUGAAGGAGAAAGGGGAGAUUGCAGCCUUCUAGACAUCUCAGUGUUCCCUACCAAGACGUGUGUGCAAAGCUUUCUUGGAUAUUCCAGUGCCAACCAAGCUCUCAUCUGAAAUCAGCCUCAUGGGUGAUCCCAGCAGACACCAUAUAGAUCAGAAAAACAAUCUAACUGAGCAUAACCAAGCAUGGAAUUGUGGGAAAUGAGAAAAUAUUGUUAUUUCAAAUCAUUAAGUCUUGGGGUGGUUGUUACAUGGCAAUAGGUAAUUGAAACACCGGUUAUCAGUAAUUUUAAAAGCUAUAGAUUUGACUUGCAUGCAUAGCUGUGGAAAAGAUUACUACACUCCUACUUUAAUGUCUAUUGCUAAUUAUUUUCUUAGUAAUAGACCCCCUGCUUUUUAGCGGUUUAUAUGGCUAUCCAGAAUAAAAAGUAUAUUCCCCAGUCUUCCUUGUGUCCAGGGUGACAAUGUGACUAAGUUCUAGCCAAGAAACAUAAGCAGAAUUAUCAUGUGGGACUUGUAAAGAAGUUUCUUAAGUAUCUUUAAAGGGAGGGGUACAUUCUUCUCUCUUCCUUGCUUCAAUAUUUUUUUUUCCUGCUUGCUGGAAUACUAAAAUAAUG